UCAGUCGACUCCUACGGGGAGGCAGCAGUGGGGAAUAUUGCACAAUGGGGGAAACCCUGAUGCAGCCAUGCCGCGUGUGUGAAGAAGGCCUUCGGGUUGUAAAGCACUUUCAGUAGGGAGGAAGGUAGUGUAGUUAACACCUGCACUAUUUGACGUUACCUACAGAAGAAGCACCGGCUAACUCCGUGCCAGCAGCCGCGGUAAUACGGAGGGUGCGAGCGUUAAUCGGAAUUACUGGGCGUAAAGCGCAUGCAGGCGGCCUGUUAAGUCAGAUGUGAAAGCCCGGGGCUUAACCUCGGAAUUGCAUUUGAAACUGGCAGGCUAGAGUCUUGUAGAGGGGGGUAGGAAUUUCAGGUGUAGCGGUGAAAUGCGUAGAGAUCUGAAGGAAUACCAGUGGCGAAGGCGGCCCCCUGGACAAAGACUGACGCUCAGAUGUGAAAGCGUGGGGAGCAAACAGGAUUAGAUACCCUGGUAG
rnacentral:rRNA from 1 species